UGGGGAAUAUUGCACAAUGGGCGCAAGCCUGAUGCAGCCAUGCCGCGUGUAUGAAGAAGGCCUUCGGGUUGUAAAGCACUUUCAGUCGGGAGGAAGGUGGUAAGGUUAAUAACCUUGGCAAUUGACGUUACCGACAGAAGAAGCACCGGCUAACUCCGUGCCAGCAGCCGCGGUAAUACGGAGGGUGCAAGCGUUAAUCGGAAUUACUGGGCGUAAAGCGCACGCAGGCGGUUGAUUGAGUCAGAUGUGAAAUCCCCGGGCUUAACCCGGGAAUUGCAUCUGAUACUGGUCAGCUAGAGUCUUGUAGAGGGGGGUAGAAUUCCAUGUGUAGCGAUGAAAUGCGUAGAGAUGUGGAGGAAUACCGGUGGCGAAGGCGGCCCCCUGGACAAAGACUGACGCUCAGGUGCGAAAGCGUGGGGAGCAAACAGG
rnacentral:rRNA from 1 species